UACACGUAGAAUGCUUACUUGCUUCAUAUUACAAAUAUACCCUACGGAAAAGGGGUAAAAAAAAGUGGGAUUUCGGCCACUUCCUGUGCGUUUACCUGUUAGAUUUUAAUAUAUUUAUUCGCUUUUCCCUUAAUUGAUUUUAAGAAGCAGAGCAGUAGAUCUGGGGAACCCUCUGACAUGUAGAGUCGUAGCCCCCAUCGAUAGCCCCCCCAUAGGGUCUCUAGUAGCCGUGUACACAACCGCUGGUGAGGAAAUAUCUUCAAAGUAACAAUGAAUUUCACAGAAUUAUUUUUUUGCCAUUAAAUAUAUUUUCAAUUAGUUUGGACACCAAGGUCUUCGUGGUUCAGCACCAGCGAAGGGCUGAGAAGUUCUAAGACCCCCGGAGAUGUCUUUGUAGCCCGUGCUGCUCGUCCUGUAGCAUCUCCAGUCUUUCUGUCUUAUGGCUCCUUGGGCCUGUAAUGAGAUUUUGCGCGUAAAGCACAGAGGGGUUUCGAGCAGAUAUUACACGCGGUCACUGUGCACUUUAAGAUCUGCUUGAGCUCUAGAAAGUUCUAGGUGCAAAGAGUUAUAUACUGUACAGAGAGAGAUAUCUAUUAGUGCGGCUAGAGGCUUAUCAAAGGAAUUUAAUUGCCCCCCGUCGCUAGUGAGGAUUCCUGAUUGGAGAAUCUAUACAUCCGGUCAGUCCCGCCAUCAGAAUCUAUACAUCCGGUCAGUCCCGCCAUCAGGGGUACGAUUAGUACCCAUGUACGAGCUCUGGCCUCCUGGACUGUCACGGGGCCCCCUAGUGGUCCCUUUGCGGCCAGCUACCUAUGUCUGGCCUCUCGCAGGCUUUGGGGAGCCUUCCUGGUGGCCCCUUUUCGGACUUUGGGGCCUACUGGUUCCACUGUGAGCCUUAGAGCCUGGUGGCCCUAAUGUGAGCAUGGGCGGGCAGUAGGAGGAGCAUGAGGCGGGGCAGUGGGAGGAGCAUGGGGUACAACGCCGAUUUCCGACGGCGGCCCUUAAUCCGGCUAAUACACAAAAGGGGGGUAGACUUUAACGCUUAAUAACUCGCGCCAGGAAGGCAUCGGUGACCUUUCCAAUUUCCAUAAAGGUUAAAGUAGCAAAAGACAUCUCGUAAUUUAAAUCUAUGUCACCCGUCUAGGUCACGGUGCAAAUAAUCAAAAAAAAAAAAGGAAAGUGUCAAAAAAAACCAACACACGUCCUUGUACAUAAAGUUUGAUACAAAUGUGAAUAAAAAAAACAACUAGUCUUAUCAGUAGAACAGCCGCACUUCCACAUAUUAACAUUAUUAGUUUAAUUAUCUUGUAAAUUAUUUAAUUUCAACAAGUUCUGUUAUAAUUUAUUCAUAAAAACCGUAUGUGAUCUUUUUACUAUUUAUUUAAAUUGUUACGUUAAUUUAUUCAUGUUUGGCUUAUUUUAUCUGGACACACGAUAAUAGGGAGGAAAGACAAAAUAUUAAAAAAAUAAAUAAAUAACCUUUUUUGACAAUAAAUUAUAUUCCACUGGGAAAAAAAAUGUUAUCUACAGCUGAUAGUUUUGAUGAAACCUAGUUAUUUUUUAUAAAUUUUUGUUAUUUAUUCUUUUAAACAGCGGGAAUUUUUUUAAAAUAUAUUUUAUAAAGGAGGAGUUUUGAUAUUUUUUGUUUCUUUUUAUUUUAUUGGGGUAGGUGAAAAAAAAAUAUUUUUGUUUCUGUUUAAUUUUUUUUUUUCUUACAUUUUUUGUGCAAAUCUUUGGUGCUGGAAAUGCCGGUGGUGAAAUUUACGCAAAAUCACCAUAGGCUUUUCUGUCCCCAAAAUUGGGAUAUACUAUGUUUCAGGCACUGAUGACAGUAUAUUAAAAAAAAAUGCUGUAUUUAUUUAAUAAUUAUUUAAGUAAAAUGAACUUGUGAAAACAUUGUAUAUUUAUUUUGUCCUGUUCGUGAGUCUGUUACGUGAUUGUUUACGUGAAGAAAUCCUGUUAAUAUUUAAAAUUAAAAAAAAAAAUUAAAAAAUAAAAAGUAAAAAAAGGUUGCUUUGAAGGCUGAUGCGGACUAGCUGUUACGUGCUAAUCUCUCAGAUACUGUGAUUCCGGCCUCAGGGAAUAUACAAAACCAACCUGACAACACUUCAGAAAUAAAAUUCAAAUUCUACUUGUGAA